UACGUAGGGUGCGAGCGUUGUCCGGAAUUAUUGGGCGUAAAGGGCUCGUAGGCGGUCUGUUGCGUCAGGAGUGAAAACUCGGGGCUUAACCCCGAGCCUGCUUCUGAUACGGGCAGACUAGAGGUAUGCAGGGGAGAACGGAAUUCCUGGUGUAGCGGUGAAAUGCGUAGAUAUUGGGAGGAACACCAGUGGCGAAGGCGGCUACCUGGACCGGUUCUGACGCUGAUGCGCGAAAGCGUGGGUAGCAAACAGG
rnacentral:rRNA from 1 species